rnacentral:rRNA from 1 species
GACGAACGCUGGCGGCGUGCUUAACACAUGCCAGUCGAACGGAAAGGCCCUGCUUUUGUGGGGUGCUCGAGUGGCGAACGGGUGAGUAACACGUGAGUAACCUGCCCUUGACUUUGGGAUAACUUCAGGAAACUGGGGCUAAUACCGGAUAGGAGCUCCUGCUGCAUGGUGGGGGUUGGAAAGUUUCGGCGGUUGGGGAUGGACUCGCGGCUUAUCAGCUUGUUGGUGGGGUAGUGGCUUACCAAGGCUUUGACGGGUAGCCGGCCUGAGAGGGUGACCGGCCACAUUGGGACUGAGAUACGGCCCAGACUCCUACGGGAGGCAGCAGUGGGGAAUAUUGCACAAUGGGCGGAAGCCUGAUGCAGCAACGCCGCGUGCGGGAUGACGGCCUUCGGGAUGUAAACCGCUUUCGCCUGUGACGAAGCGUGAGUGACGGUAAUGGGUAAAGAAGCACCGGCUAACUACGUG